GGGCUCGUAGCUCAAUUGGCAGAGCAAGGGACUCUUAAUCCCUGGGUUGUAGGUUCGAUUCCUACCGGGCUCACCG
rnacentral:tRNA from 1 species